CGACGGGCCGCGAGUGGAAGAAGUAAUCUGUCCUCAUCAGGAGAGCCGCUGAGUGGUUGUAUGGUGUUGAUCCGGGCUGGUUUGUUUGGCAGCGGCGGUCAGCGUGUUAGUGUGCUUUGUGCGCGGAUUUCUGUGCCUUGGAAGUUGCUCAGUAUGGCCUAACAAACAAUGGAAGUUUGCCAGACUGGGGAAAAACAGCUCGAGGUCGGCCAGAAGUCGCCGUCAUGGAGCAGAUGAUGGAAAAGUGGGGAUAAAGUAAGUGGGCGUACGACCACCCUAAAUGCUAUCACACACACACCCUGAGGGACAUCAGCAUGUAUUGAGUUCUUGGGAAGGAGUGAAUGUGUCUGCCAAUGUACUGCAUGUGUGGUUUAAAUGUAGAACCUGAAUGCCAUGAGCACUUGGUUUGUUACCCGGUACGUAUUGUGAGGAAUAAAUGAAUGCUGCUUUCUGACGCCACACUGGAGUUAGAGAGUUUUCUUCCCAG
rnacentral:lncRNA from 1 species